rnacentral:rRNA from 1 species
UUCGGGGUACUCGAGUGGCGAACGGGUGAGUAACACGUGGGUGAUCUGCCCUGCACUUUGGGAUAAGCCUGGGAAACUGGGUCUAAUACCGAAUAGGACCACGCGCUUCAUGGUGUGUGGUGGAAAGCUUUUGCGGUGUGGGAUGGGCCCGCGGCCUAUCAGCUUGUUGGUGGGGUAAUGGCCUACCAAGGCGACGACGGGUAGCCGGCCUGAGAGGGUGACCGGCCACACUGGGACUGAGAUACGGCCCAGACUCCUACGGGAGGCAGCAGUGGGGAAUAUUGCACAAUGGGCGCAAGCCUGAUGCAGCGACGCCGCGUGAGGGAUGACGGCCUUCGGGUUGUAAACCUCUUUCAAUAGGGACGAAGCGCAAGUGACGGUACCUAUAGAAGAAGCACCGGCCAACUACGUGCCAGCAGCCGCGGUAAUACGUAGGGUGCGAGCGUUGUCCGGAAUUACUGGGCGUAAAGAGCUCGUAGGUGGUUUGUCGCGUUGUUCGUGAAAACUCACAGCUUAACUGUGGGCGUGCGGGCGAUACGGGCAGACUAGAGUACUGCAGGGGAGACUGGAAUUUCUGGUGUAGCGGUGGAAUGCGCAGAUAUCAGGAGGAACACCGGUGGCGAAGGCGGGUCUCUGGGCAGUAACUGACGCUGAGGAGCGAAAGCGUGGGGAGCGAACAGGAUUAGAUACCCUGGUAGUCCACGCCGUAAACGGUGGGUACUAGGUGUGGGUUCCUUCCUUGGGAUCCGUGCCGUAGCUAACGCAUUAAGUACCCCGCCUGGGGAGUACGGCCGCAAGGCUAAAACUCAAAGGAAUUGACGGGGGCCCGCACAAGCGGCGGAGCAUGUGGAUUAAUUCGAUGCAACGCGAAGAACCUUACCUGGGUUUGACAUGCACAGGACGCCGGCAGAGAUGUCGGUUCCCUUGUGGCCUGUGUGCAGGUGGUGCAUGGCUGUCGUCAGCUCGUGUCGUGAGAUGUUGGGUUAAGUCCCGCAACGAGCGCAACCCUUGUCCUAUGUUGCCAGCGGGUUAUGCCGGGGACUCGUAGGAGACUGCCGGGGUCAACUCGGAGGAAGGUGGGGAUGACGUCAAGUCAUCAUGCCCCUUAUGUCCAGGGCUUCACACAUGCUACAAUGGCCGGUACAAAGGGCUGCGAUGCCGUGAGGUGGAGCGAAUCCUUUUAAAGCCGGUCUCAGUUCGGAUCGGGGUCUGCAACUCGACCCCGUGAAGUCGGAGUCGCUAGUAAUCGCAGAUCAGCAACGCUGCGGUGAAUACGUUCCCGGGCCUUGUACACACCGCCCGUCACGUCAUGAAAGUCGGUAACACCCGAAGCCGGUGG